rnacentral:rRNA from 1 species
UCAGACGAUGCGUCAUGCAUAUCAAUAAGCGGAGGAAAAGAAACUAACAAGGAUUCCCCUAGUAACGGCGAGUGAAGCGGGAAGAGCUCAAAUUUGAAAUCUUAAAGGGUUUCCCUUUACGAAUUGUAGUUUAAAGAAGUGUUUUCUGUUGAGGUUUUGGUAAAAGUUCUUUGGAAUAGGACAUCAUAGAGGGUGAGAAUCCCGUAUUUGACCUUUACUUUCAGCUUUGUGAUACACUUUCAAAGAGUCGGAUUGUUUGGGAAUGCAGUCCAAAAUGGGUGGUAAAUUUCAUCUAAAGCUAAAUAUUGGCGAGAGACCGAUAGCGAACAAGUACCGUGAGGGAAAGAUGAAAAGAACUUUGAAAAGAGAGUUAAACAGUACGUGAAAUUGUCAAAAGGGAAGCGUUUGACACCAGUGUUGUUUUUCUGAAAAUCAAUUAAAGAACUGUUUAUGCUAAGUUGUUUAGACUUUAUCAGCUAACUGUUUAGUUUUGAGCUUUUCUUUAAUGCACUUUUCAGUUAACAAGUCAACAUCAAUUUCUUUUGCUGUAAAAAAGCUUGAGGAAGGUGGCUUGAGAUUCGUCUUAAGUGUUUAUAGCCUCUUGCCUAUGCAGUCGGAGAGAUUGAGGUCUGCAGCGUAGAUCCUUCGGGGCUAAAUGCAUUUGUGCUAAGUUAUAGCAUUUUAUAGACAACUUGUUGACUAUGAUUUGUCUUGUAGCUUACUCGCUUAUGUUAUUUUACCUACGCUUAGGAUGUUGACACACGCGCGUGCUCG